GGAGAGGUGUCCGAGUGGCUUAAGGAGCACGCUUGGAAAGCGUGUAUGUGGGAAACCGCAACGUGGGUUCGAAUCCCACCCUCUCCGCCA
rnacentral:tRNA from 1 species